UCAGCCUCCCAAAGUACUAGGAUCAUAGGUGUGAGCCACUGCGCUCGGCCUGAGACUGCCUUUUUAUCAAUGAUGUAACCACAUUUCAUGAGGCUUAAAAUUUGUUGCCCUGAAACAAUUUAUUCCCUAAAACUGCAUUCAGCCUUUUUGGAGUGCAACAUGGCUACAUGCAAAAUCACCCCAAAUCCAUGUAUCUCCCAGGAUACAAUGGUUGUAUUUGUCAGUCUUCAACCCAAAAGUAAUCUAAAGUAAUAAGUAACGUGUACAGGGCUAUUCAUAGCAGCUCUAUUUAUAACAGGCAAAAGGGAGAAAAACUAAUAAUUAUUACACAUUUAUUGAGUGCCACACAUUGUACUAGGGGCUUCAUAUGGUUUUGAGUAUUUAACCCCAUGAUCCCAUGAAACCCACUUUGCAGAUGGAGAAAGUGAUUCAGAGGUGUGCUGGAAAUCAGCUCUCCUGAGUCAAAAUGAAGCCUUCAUUUUUAGCUUUGUUGAUUUUCAUAAUGUAAGUAUCCCAUCAUAACUACUUUCAAGCUACCUAAGGUUUAGCAACCAGUUCCCAAACUUUUUGAAUAUUUAGUAACUGGCUCUUGCAAGCCAGUUUGAGCCAGUUCCAGCACAUCAUUGAAACGGAGGCACAGAAAGAUUAGGUAAUUUGCCCAGUGUUGCUGAAUGACAGAGUCAAGGUUAGAACCAAGAGUUUAAUUCGAGUCCAGGCUCUGAGCAGCGCUCCACAGGCCUGUGCCAACCACAGAGAAUAGUUAACAUUAACACCCACAAGGGAAUUCUUUGACUCACAUGCAACACAAAAAGGUUUACAUGACCGCUAACGCUAAUGGAGCACUUAGUACGUGCCGGGCAACAAUGUAAGAUCAUUACAACAACCCUACGAAAUCCUACAUAUUAAAUACAAUAAUUUGCAAAACUUGAUGGAUGGGAGACAGGUUCCAAUUAAGUGCUUAAAAAGGCGAGUAGCUACUGUUAUUCCCAUUUUGCAGACCCUUAUUCUGCAGAGAGGUCCCACGGCUGGUGAAUAUGGCGAAGGUGAGAUUCGGAUCUAGCCAGUCUGGUCCCAGUCUCUAAACCACAAUGUCCCUCAUAAAGUAUCAGGUAGCAGAAAGGAAAUGCACCAACGUGUUCCGAGUCUGAGCGCCAAGCAGAAGUGAAUCUCGGCGUGGGAAGCCCGGCAAAGCCUCUGAACUCCAGGGUCAGGCGAACCUGGGUUUGAAAGCCUCCCCAUCACCUGCUGGGUGUGACUGGGGCAAGUCACCUAACAGCGCCUGGCUUCCGUUCCCUUCUCGCGCACCAGGUUGUCCUAGGGGUGAAGGGAGAGUUCACCCAACGCGGUGGACAAAGCCCUUGGCGCACCCGAAGGCCUGUACAGGUCGUAGCUAUUGUGAUGAGCCAAAGGGUAGAAGGACCAGAAUCAAGGGCAUGGCUCCACCUUCACCGUGGGGUCUUUGUCCUAUCAAAUUGCCCCAGAUGGUAGCUCAGGCUGGCCCAGAGUGACAGCCAAGGCGAAUCCUUCGUAACGUCAGAACUUCGCUGGCACGCACCGCAGAGGUGCCCUUCUCCAUCCUGGGGUUCCGCCACCCUCGCGACCGCACCUUUCGGCUCCUUGCGGCAGAAGCGAAGGCCCCGGCGCCCCAGGCCCAGGCGCCCAGUCGGAUGCCCGGGUCCAGCCGUGCUCCCCCGGGCGCUCGGCACCCUUCCACCCACGCCCGCAGCGGAGGCGGAGAGGGCCACUGAGGGAGAAGCCCGCGCGCCGUUCUGCUUUCGGAAUCUGGAGCCCCAUGUCACCUCCAAAGUUUGGGGAAUUUGGGCGCUCCUUUUUCUCCCAGACCAUCACUAAAAAGAAAACUGCGGCUGUUCCUCUUUAAGCCAAACUUCCUCCCCGGGGCGCCCGGAGGAGCUCUGCGCUCCCGUCGCAGCUGGGAUAGCGAAGGUGCGGGACCCAGCGUGGAGAAGUGGUGCGGUCGGCCCGGGCUCCAGUCUAGGAGGGCAUUUCCAAGCACUCUCCCACUUCUGCCACAAGAGGAUUUCCAGGCUCCUGAAGCGAACGCGGUGACCAAGAACAAGACACAAGGGUCUCACUACGUUGUCCAGCCUGAUUUCUGACUUCUGGGCUCUCAAGUGAUCUUCCCUCCUUAGCCUCCUAAGUCAAGCCUUCACAAACAAACUGUGGUAGCGAGUGUGCGGAAGAAGAGGAUGAGCAGUUUAGCCCCUUUCUGCCCCUGCUGGUCUCACUUUUGGUUCAAGGGUGUUCACAUCAGGCAAGAAGCAAGAGACCCAGAUGUCUUCUGGUAACACAAGAUUUCAGAGGGAUUACUGGCUUUGGAGUUCAAUAUUUUCAUUCUACCCAGAAACUAAAAAAUUGGU